ACUAGCAGUAAGAGUUUGACUCCUGGCUCAGAACGAACGCUGGCGGCAGGCUUAACACAUGCAAGUCGAGCGCCCCGCAAGGGGAGCGGCAGACGGGUGAGUAACGCGUGGGAAUCUACCCAGUUCUACGGAAUAACCCAGGGAAACUUGGACUAAUACCGUAUACGCCCUACGGGGGAAAGAUUUAUCGGAAUUGGAUGAGCCCGCGUUGGAUUAGCUAGUUGGUGGGGUAAUGGCCUACCAAGGCGACGAUCCAUAGCUGGUCUGAGAGGAUGAUCAGCCACACUGGGACUGAGACACGGCCCAGACUCCUACGGGAGGCAGCAGUGGGGAAUAUUGGACAAUGGGCGAAAGCCUGAUCCAGCCAUGCCGCGUGAGUGAUGAAGGCCUUAGGGUUGUAAAGCUCUUUCAGUGGGGAAGAUAAUGACGGUACCCACAGAAGAAGCCCCGGCUAACUUCGUGCCAGCAGCCGCGGUAAUUC
rnacentral:rRNA from 1 species